CCUCUUUUCAACGGGCACGCAAACACCUAUAUCAGCCGUGCCGGACUUCGGUCCGGAUAUGGCGAUAAAUGGUCGGUGUAAUAAACCUAUUGGACCCGGGGGCGGUACCCGGCGCCUCCACCAAAAACCGGUCGGUCGAAAUGGCCGGCUUUUGAUGGGGGCGAAAUAGGAUCGACAAGGGCGUAAAGAUCGUACUUUUGCUCGGCAUGAUACCGCCGUUAUCGGGUCACAAGUGUAGUUGCAAAUGACAACAACGCUAAGGAAUACGCUCUCGCUGCCUAAUGGCGGUGCGGGAAUUCCGCUUUAAGUCCUUACGGUUAGCCCCGUAAGGCGGGGUUCGGAGGUACCUGGCAACAGAAACCUCCACC
rnacentral:tmRNA from 1 species